GGCAAGGUGGCAGAGUGGUCUAAUGCGUACGUUUUAUCUUCGGGAGCGUGUGUUCAAAUCACACCCUUGUCG
rnacentral:tRNA from 1 species